rnacentral:rRNA from 1 species
GGCGAAGGCGGCCUUCUGGACUGACACUGACACUGAGGUGCGAAAGCGUGGGUAGCAAACAGGAUUAGAUACCCUGGUAGUCCACGCCGUAAACGAUGUCGACCAGCCGUUGGGUGCCUAGCGCACUUUGUGGCGAAGUUAACGCGAUAAGUCGACCGCCUGGGGAGUACGGCCGCAAGGUUAAAACUCAAAUGAAUUGACGGGGGCCCGCACAAGCGGUGGAGCAUGUGGUUUAAUUCGAUGCAACGCGAAGAACCUUACCUACUCUUGACAUCCUGCGAAUUCGGUAGAGAUACCUUAGUGCCUUCGGGAACGCAGAGACAGGUGCUGCAUGGCUGUCGUCAGCUCGUGUUGUGAAAUGUUGGGUUAAGUCCCGUAACGAGCGCAACCCUUGUCCUUAUUUGCCAGCGCGUAAUGGCGGGAACUCUAAGGAGACUGCCGGUGACAAACCGGAGGAAGGUGGGGACGACGUCAAGUCAUCAUGGCCCUUACGAGUAGGGCUACACACGUGCUACAAUGGUCGGUACAAAGGGUUGCCAACUCGCGAGAGUGAGCCAAUCCCGAAAAGCCGAUCUCAGUCCGGAUCGGAGUCUGCAACUCGACUCCGUGAAGUCGGAAUCGCUAGUAAUCGUAGAUCAGAAUGCUACGGUGAAUACGUUCCCGGGCCUUGUACACACCGCCCGUCACACCAUGGGAGUGGACUGCACCAGAAGUGGUUAGCCUAACGCAAGAGGGCGAUCACCACGGUGUGGUUCAUGACUGGGGU